AACGAACGCUGGCGGCGUGGCUAAGGCAUGCAAGUCGAACGGAUCUAUUCCAAGGGUAACUGAGGAGUAGGUGAGUGGCGGACGGGUGAGUAAUACAUGGAUAACGUACCUCGGAUUCAGGGAUAACGGCGGGGGCUUCGGCCUCCUUUGCGAAAGUGUUGCUAAUACCUGAUGAACUCGCUUUUUCUCAUGAUAAGGCGGGCAAAGUUACGGCGAUCUGAGAGCGGUCCAUGGCCUAUCAGCUAGUUGGUAGGUAACGGCCUACCAAGGCUAUGACGGGUACCGGGUGUGAGAGCACGACCCGGNACAUCGGGACUGAGACACUGCCCCGGACNCCUACGGGUGGCUGCAGCAACGAAUAUUCCGCAAUGGGCGAAAGCCU
rnacentral:rRNA from 1 species